rnacentral:snoRNA from 1 species
AAGACUACUUUUCGGGAUUAUUUCUAUAGUUCAUUACGAAAGAAGUUUCUCUGCCUGCGAAGCUCAGGGAAACCACAAGUAGAAGGCCCAGUGUUCUCUGUUGAACGUGAAGUUGGUUCCUGGUGUUGCUUCUGCAACUGCCGUUAGUGAUAGGUCUUCUCUUCCUUUGGGAGAGCGAGAGCGGGAGGACGCUGUCUGGGUAA